rnacentral:rRNA from 1 species
AGUGAACGCUGGCGGUAGGCCUAACACAUGCAAGUCGAACGGCAGCACAGUAAGGGCUUGCUCUUACGGGUGGCGAGUGGCGGACGGGUGAGGAAUACAUCGGAAUCUACUUUUUCGUGGGGGAUAACGUAGGGAAACUUACGCUAAUACCGCAUACGACCUACGGGUGAAAGCAGGGGAUCUUCGGACCUUGGGCGAUUGAAUGAGCCGAUGUCGGAUUAGCUAGUUGGCGGGGUAAAGGCCCACCAAGGCGACGAUCCGUAGCUGGUCUGAGAGGAUGAUCAGCCACACUGGAACUGAGACACGGUCCAGACUCCUACGGGAGGCAGCAGUGGGGAAUAUUGGACAAUGGGCGCAAGCCUGAUCCAGCCAUACCGCGUGGGUGAAGAAGGCCUUCGGGUUGUAAAGCCCUUUUGUUGGGAAAGAAAAGCAGCAGGUUAAUACCCCGCUGUUCUGACGGUACCCAAAGAAUAAGCACCGGCUAACUUCGUG